AACAUAUAAGCUGAUGGAAGUGAGUCCUGAGAACAACUGAAAUUCCAAUGAGAGGCAACUGUUCCAGUUUAUAUAUAAAGAAGCUGCAUCAAUUAACAAUGUUUUAGGUGUAUAUGGGAAUUCAAAUUCCUCAGAUUUAUCUGCUCUUUCCCAACCAGGACCUUUUCUUAGAAUAAAGAUCUAGUAGAAUUGUACAUUUUACAAGUUUUGUUCUGAAAGUUUACUGUGAUUAUAAUCAGGCUCUGUGCUUGACCCUAUGUUAUUAGGACAUAAGAAACUCCUUUAGAAUUGCCUUUUAAAAUUAAAUUUCCAUCUGAACACUGCAAUUGGCAUCAAAGAUGAUUGGCACUUUGUUUCCUCAUUGCUCUUGGGACCCUCAGAGGAAUUAGCCCUGUUUCAAACCUUAUAAGCACUAUUGUUACUAUAUAGACACUUGGUCACAAAAUCAUGUCUCUGUCAGCCCUUUCUAAUGUGUCUUUUCUGGUGUUCAUUUUUUGUAACUGAGAUGGCAACACUUGUCCAUUACCAUCCUUACCCUGGAUGAGGGUAUAAGGUUAUACAUGUGCUUCUAAAUAUGUAAAGAACUGAAUCCCAGAAUCUUAAUUUUAUGAUCUCUUCCUAGGAGGGCUACUCCUGGUAUCAAUCACUCUUUUAGUCAGAAAACAGAUGGCACGCCCUAAUGGGGUAAUUAAGGAAAGAUUAAUGUGGACACCAUUUUCGAACUUUCUGUGUCCCAAUAAUCAUCAUAAAAGAAAGAAGAUUCUACUACAGCUACAAAAUUCAGCCUUUGGGGUGCUGCUUUGUUGGAGGUUAUACCAAGAUACUCAAUCCCUGGAAGGAUCCCUAAAGACAGAAAGCAAGAUGGCUUUCAGUUUUUUCUAAACUCAGUAGAUUAAACAGCCACUCAACUGGUUCUUUGGAGCAGCUAUUAUGGAAAUUAAAAUGCCAUUUUAAAAACUAGGUAAGUCCCUAGUAGAGCUGCCUUUCAUCCCCUACGCCAUCUUGCUUUUCCAUGCAAAAAAAAAAAAAAAAAAAAAAAACUUCUUAUGGAUAAUGUUCCUUGCACUGGGAAUAGCCAAACCAAUGAAUGGCUUUUAGAGUUGAUUAAAUGCUAAAGUGAAGCUUUCUGAUAACCAUGAGAACUGACUAUUGGAAGUAUACUCCGGUGUCAUGAAUAUUACUACUAAUACAUGAUAAGAUUUUUAAGGACAUAAUAGAGUGUAAUAAAGAAUAGAUCACUUUCUUCCCUUUUGAGGUU
rnacentral:lncRNA from 13 species